rnacentral:piRNA from 1 species
UGUGAACCAAGAACUGCUCAGUGGACA